rnacentral:rRNA from 1 species
AAAUUGAAGAGUUUGAUCAUGGCUCAGAUUGAACGCUGGCGGCAGGCCUAACACAUGCAAGUCGAACGGUAGCACAGAGAGCUUGCUCUCGGGUGACGAGUGGCGGACGGGUGAGUAAUGUCUGGGAAACUGCCCGAUGGAGGGGGAUAACUACUGGAAACGGUAGCUAAUACCGCAUAACGUCGCAAGACCAAAGUGGGGGACCUUCGGGCCUCACACCAUCGGAUGUGCCCAGAUGGGAUUAGCUAGUAGGUGGGGUAACGGCUCACCUAGGCGACGAUCCCUAGCUGGUCUGAGAGGAUGACCAGCCACACUGGAACUGAGACACGGUCCAGACUCCUACGGGAGGCAGCAGUGGGGAAUAUUGCACAAUGGGCGCAAGCCUGAUGCAGCCAUGCCGCGUGUAUGAAGAAGGCCUUCGGGUUGUAAAGUACUUUCAGCGAGGAGGAAGGCGUUGUGGUUAAUAACCACAGCGAUUGACGUUACUCGCAGAAGAAGCACCGGCUAACUCCGUGCCAGCAGCCGCGGUAAUACGGAGGGUGCAAGCGUUAAUCGGAAUUACUGGGCGUAAAGCGCACGCAGGCGGUUUGUUAAGUCAGAUGUGAAAUCCCCGGGCUCAACCUGGGAACUGCAUUUGAAACUGGCAAGCUUGAGUCUCGUA